CCAGGACUUUUGAUCCCUGGCUCCGGGAUGGAACGCUGGCGGCGUGCCUAAUACAUGCAAGUCGAACGCUUUGUCCUUUAAUUGAUCUGACCGAGCCUUGCUCUGAAGUGAUUUUAUCUGACAAAGAAGUGGCGAACGGGUGAGUAACACGGUGGGUUAACCUUACCUCUUAGCAGGGGAUAACAUUUGGAAACAAGUGCUAAUACCGUAUAAAUACCAACAACCGCAUGGUUGUUGGUUGAAAGAUGGUUCUGCUGUCACUAAGAGAUGGACCCGCGGUGCAUUAGCUAGUUGGUAAGGUAACGGCUUACCAAGGCAAUGAUGCAUAGCCGAGUUGAGAGACUGAUCGGCCACAAUGGGACUGAGACACGGCCCAUACUCCUACGGGAGGCAGCAGUAGGGAAUCUUCCACAAUGGGCGCAAGCCUGAUGGAGCAACGCCGCGUGUGUGAUGAAGGGUUUCGGCUCGUAAAACACUGUUAUAAGAGAAGAACGGCACUGAGAGUAACUGUUCAGUGUGUGACGGUAUCUUACCAGAAAGGAACGGCUAAAUACGUGCCAGCAGCCGCGGUAAUACGUAUGUUCCAAGCGUUAUCCGGAUUUAUUGGGCGUAAAGCGAGCGCAGACGGUUAUUUAAGUCUGAAGUGAAAGCCCUCAGCUCAACUGAGGAAUGGCUUUGGAAACUGGAUGACUUGAGUGCAGUAGAGGAAAGUGGAACUCCAUGUGUAGCGGUGAAAUGCGUAGAUAUAUGGAAGAACACCAGUGGCGAAGGCGGCUUUCUGGACUGUAACUGACGUUGAGGCUCGAAAGUGGUGGGUAGCAAACAGGAUUAGAUACCCUGGUAGUCCACACCGUAAACGAUGAGUGCUAGAUGUUCGAGGGUUUCCGCCCUUGAGUGUCGCAAGCCUAACGCAUUAAGCACUCCCGCCUGGGGAGUUACCGACCGCAAGCGUUGCAGGUUCAGAGGAAUU
rnacentral:rRNA from 1 species